rnacentral:rRNA from 1 species
CCAGCAGCUGCGGUAAUUCCAGCUCCAAUAGCGUAUAUUUAAGUUGGUGCAGUUAAAAAGCUCGUAGUUGGAUUUCGGAUGGGAUUUGCCGGUCCGCCGUUCCGGUGCGCACUGGCCAGUCUCAUCUUGUUGUUGGGGACUAGCUCCUGGGCUUCACUGUCCGGGACUAGGAGCUGACGAGGUUACUUUGAGUAAAUUAGAGUGUUCAAGGCAAGCUUACGCUCUGAAUACAUUAGCAUGGAAUAACAUGAUAGGACUCUGGCUUAUCUUGUUGGUCUGUGAGACCAGAGUAAUGAUUAAGAGGGACAGUCGGGGACAUUCGUAUUUCAUUGUCAGAGGUGAAAUUCUUGGAUUUAUGAAAGACGAACUUCUGCGAAAGCAUUUGUCAUGGAUGUUUUCAUUAAUCAAGAACGAAAGU